AAAUAGAAGCUGUGUUGAGCCAUAUCGGAGCCUGUCGAUCGACGAGUUGAACUACAUCGUCUCAUUGUUUGCAUGUCUCAUCUUGUUAAUUCGUACAACACAUAUUUUCUGGGAUUGAUGUAUUGUGUCAGAAAAUGUAUUAAAUCAUAGGCUAAUUGCAUAUUUUGUGUAUGUUUUGAAAUGAAUUUGCUUGGUGGUAAAGAAGGGUAAAUUUCUUUUUCAGUACAACUACUUUGGAGAAUUGGUAUUUUGAGGGGCCGGUGUACCCUGUUUUAAACUAUAUAUACAUGUUUGGGAUAUUUGAUUUUAUUUUCAGGUGAUUUUAGUCCAUUUUUAAGAGGGAACUCUGUCGAAAUUUUUAUAAAAUUAUAACAGUCAAAGCAUGUCAAGUUUGCUUUGGUGAUGGGUCCGGCACUCUGCUAGUAUCUACCAUCGGCGCACUUCACGUGUCGAAUCCAUUAGGGUGAUUUGAGACAGGUCGUGUCAAUUGGUAUCGGGCAUGGUUAUAAAGUCAGUUUGCAUGGUUUAUUUGAUUUUUGUUCUUAUCAUAUCAUACAUAUUUUGUAGUUGGAAGUCAUGGCUCAUGGUAAUAAGACACGCAGGCUCCAAGAUAUGUCAUCUCAACCACCAGUUGUUCCUGAUAAGGAUGCCAGUAGGGUCGAGGAAUCAGUUCAUCCGACCCAUGAUCAGCGGAGAUAUGGGGAUGUAGCCCAGCCUGACUAAUAGCUGAUAGGAUUGUCACCGCUGUUGUUUCUGCUCUACACAAUACAAAUAAAGAUUGUAGUAUAGAACAGGCUGCUAAAUUAGGAGCUAAAGUAUUUACAGGCACAGCUGAUCCAGUAGAAUCAGACUCAUAG
rnacentral:lncRNA from 1 species